AGACCAGACUCCUACGGGAGGCAGCAGUGGGGGAUAUUGCGCAAUGGGGGAAACCCUGACGCAGCAACGCCGCGUGAGUGAGGAAGUAUCUCGGUAUGUAAAGCUCUAUCAGCGGGGAAGAAAGAGGACGGUACCCGACUAAGAAGCCCCGGCUAACUACGUGCCAGCAGCCGCGGUAAUACGUAGGGGGCAAGCGUUAUCCGGAUUUACUGGGUGUAAAGGGGGCGCAGACGGCGAUGCAAGCCAGGAGUGAAAGCCCGGGGCCCAACCCCGGGACUGCUCUUGGAACUGCGUGGCUGGAGUGCAGGAGGGGCAGGCGGAAUUCCUGGUGUAGCGGUGAAAUGCGUAGAUAUCAGGAGGAACACCAGUGGCGAAGGCGGCUUGCUGGACGAUGACUGACGUUGAGGCUCGAAAGCGUGGGGAGCAAACAGGAUUAGAUACCCUGGUA
rnacentral:rRNA from 1 species